GUUCCAUCUGGAGAAGACACAGUUCCACACAAUUUGCAGUGCAGAAUGCAAAAAUCAUUACACACUUGGUUUGGUUUGGUGAACUGAGCUUUCUUACUAAUGGAGAAGCAUGUGGAAAGGCUGGCUCAGGGUGGUGAUCCAUUCCCCAUCUCUGUUUGAUUCACCAAACCAGCUUGAUUCCAUUCUGAUCAUGAACACAGCCCCUCUCUCUCUCUCUUUCUCUCUCUAUUGAGGUCUUGGAAGAUUUUUAUAAGUAUUGUGUGGAAGACAAACAACAAAGACAAUGACAGAGGAUUGAAAAAGUUUAUACAUUUAGGUAAAAAAAAAAAAAAAAAA
rnacentral:lncRNA from 1 species